GUGGGCGUGCCAGAGUGGUUAACGGGCAUGACUAGAAAUCAUGUGGGCUUUGCUCGUGUAGGUUUGAAUCCUGCCGCUCACG
rnacentral:tRNA from 1 species